rnacentral:tRNA from 1 species
GUGAGUGUAGCUCAGUGGUAGAGCGCUGGACUGUGGCUCCAGAUGUCGAGGGUUCAAAUCCCUUCACUCACCCCA